rnacentral:rRNA from 1 species
AUUGAACGCUGGCGGCAUGCCUUACACAUGCAAGUCGAACGGCAGCACGGGUGCUUGCACCUGGUGGCGAGUGGCGAACGGGUGAGUAAUACAUCGGAACGUACCUUAUCGUGGGGGAUAACGCAGCGAAAGCUGUGCUAAUACCGCAUACGCCCUGAGGGGGAAAGCGGGGGAUCGCAAGACCUCGCGCGAUUAGAGCGGCCGAUGCCUGAUUAGCUAGUUGGUGGGGUAAAAGCCCACCAAGGCGACGAUCAGUAGCUGGUCUGAGAGGACGAUCAGCCACACUGGGACUGAGACACGGCCCAGACUCCUGAGGGAGGCAGCAGUGGGGAAUUUUGGACAAUGGGGGCAACCCUGAUCCAGCAAUGCCGCGUGAGUGAAGAAGGCCUUCGGGUUGUAAAGCUCUUUUGUCAGGGAAGAAACACCGGCUCUAACACAGUCCGGGAAUGACGGUACCUGAAGAAUAAGCACCGGCUAACUACGUGCCAGCCGCCGCGGUAA